AGAAUCAACGCUGGCGGCGUGCCUAACGCAUGCAAGUCGAACGAGAAAGGGGAGCAAUCCCUGAGUAAAGUGGCGCACGGGUGAGUAACACGUGACUAACCUACCCUGGAGUGGGGGAUAACUGAGAGAAAUCUUAGCUAAUACCGCAUAAUACCUACGGGUCAAAGGAGCAAUUCGCUCUGGGAGGGGGUCGCGGCCGAUUAGUUAGUUGGCGGGGUAAUGGCCCACCAAGACGAUGAUCGGUA
rnacentral:rRNA from 1 species